UCUAACAUCCACCAGUGGCUAGGAUUUGUCGCUCUCAUCAGAGUAGUUCGCUCUCAAGCGCCGACAAGGCCCGGGUUCGAUUCCCGGUGUCGGAA